GCUACGGCGGAUAUGGCUGCAGAGCGGCCGGCUGGGAUCUUAGAUAGGAGGGGUGGAUUUGCAAGGCCUAGAAUAGCUGGGGAGUGGUUUCCCCGCGGAAUCGGCCUCCCUGCCGCUCCUGCUUUGUACUGUGACGCUCAGCCUGUGAUGACUGGUGUGGAAUCCGCUGAGCCACCUUGGCCUAAGGAGACUUUACCACUCUGAGAUUGUAAAUCUGUAAAAUAGAGAUGUAGGAUUAGCCCAUACGGUAGUUGUGGUAAAUACUGUGAGACAAUAAGGGGCCUGGGACACAGCAUUCAAAUGGGAAUAAUGAAGGUCAAGACUGUGAUUCCUGUAUCUUUGACGCUCUCGGUAUAAGCACCGUCGUGGGCACAGGGCAGUGGCCUUUAUGCAGGAGUUUAAGAGGGAAUGAAGGAAUGAAUGGGCAAACUCUGGAGUUCCCAAGUAUUCUCUCCAGGAGCUGUUUCCAUUCUUUUCGUUUCCAGCAGGUUGGUAAAUUCAUUAAUUUAUUCAUUGAUCUAAUUAAAAUAUACUAAGUGCCCCUCACCUGUGCUAGGCCAAUGUGAUACAAUGAGCAGAACAGUCAUGGGCCCUCCCUGGGAAGCCCUCACUAGCCCAAGGACUCCUUGUAGACAUUUAAGUGUCCACAGGCUCUGGAGUUCCAACCUUGAGUGCAAUUUAGCAGCUGUGGACCUUGGGCAAGUCAUUACAUCUAAGCCUGUUUUCUCUUCUGCAAAAUGGUUAAGGAUUCAAUAAGAUAAAACUGUAGGCAAUGAAAACCGUACCUGGUAACAGUAGGUGCUGAAGAAGUGUUAGCUAUUAAUUUUUGCUUAAUUUUUCUCUCUCUGCUCUAUGUGAUGAAAAGAUUCAAGAGGCAAUUGUUGGAAUGUAAAAAGAGCACGGGACUUGGAGUCAAAUACUUAAGUCUACCAUCAAGUAGUUGUUAAGAAUUAAACAACAAUUUUUGUGUACCCAGUUAAAUGUGGGCUGCUUAGGAAUGAUGACUGUGUCUUAAUGAUCUCUGUAUUCUUAGUGACAUGUAGAAUCAUUGUGCCUGACACAUAGUAUGUACUCAGGAAAGAAAUGGAAAAUGUGGUUUUAGCAUUGAAGGCCGGGAGAGAGGGUCUAACAGACUACAAGCCCUGCCAGGAGCAGAGUAAGGGAAACAGAGGAGAAAAGUGUUUUUAGUCUGUGCCUGAAUGUAUUUACAUCUGUUUGUAGCCCAAAAGCCAAAAGCAUACAUACGCUUGGCUUUUCUGUAGCUAUGUUUAUGGCUUUACAGCAGAUUUUAUGGAGCUGCAAUUACUUUGAUCAUGAGGGACUGAUGCUAGUGGAUUUACUUCACCAAAUGGAACUCACUUUGUGGCUUCUGAAGAAGGGACCUUUGUGGACUGUCAUGGAGUAGUUAAGAGUGCAGGCUCUGAUUUAGUGAUCAGAGUCUGCAUUGUCAGGAAUGGGACAAAGUGAAGUUAUGUGGCACUUGAUAGGAUGCCCUGAGAAGAUUGCAACAUCACCCCUGUGAUAUUCCUGCUGAAGAUCCAUAACCUGGAUGUAAUCAUGAGGAUAUAUCAGACAAACCCACGUAAAGAGACAUGCUGUAUACAAAACUGUAAUCUUAGAAAGUGCCAAGGUCAUGAAAAUCAAAGAUAGACCCUGGAACUGUUCCAAACUGGAGGGGACCAAAGAGGCAUGACAACUAAACACAACACAUGAUUCUGAACUGGAUCUUUUUGCUUGAAAGGAAGUUACAGGGACAGUUGGAAAAGUUUAAAUGGGGCCUACAAUGCCGUGGUAAUGAUGUGUCCGUGUUAAUUUCCUGAUUUUCAUGGUUGCCUGUUAAGUUACAUCAGAGGAUGUUCUUGUUUGCUGGAAAGUAAAUCAAUGUAUUUGGCAGGGGAUAAGGCAUCAAAUGGUCACCUUAAUUUCAAAUUAUUACAGGGAAAAUGUUUCUCUCUGUACUUAAUAACUUUUUUGCAAUUUCUUAAAAUGAAAGCUCUGGAGUAAAAACUUCAAGGAUCCAAAUCUCGACUUUGCUACUUCUUAGGUAUGGGCCCGAGGGCAGGUUGCUUCACCUCUCUACACCUCAAUUUUUCCAUCUGUAGAUUGGGGAUAGUGACAGUACUGAUCUAAGAGAGUUGUUUAGAGAAAAACAAAAACAGAAAGUGAUAAUUAGUGCAUGUAAAGCUCCUGGCAUGGUAAGAGCUUUCUAAAGGAUUGUGGCUAUAUUCUUAUUUAUUUAUUUAUUUAUUUAUUGAGACAGAGUCUCACUCUGUCGCCCAGGCUAGAGUGCAGCAGCACAAUCUUCGCUCAUUUGCAACCUCUACCUCCCAGAUUCAAGUGAUUCUCAUGCCUCAGCCUCCCGAGUAGCUGUCAUUACAGGCGCAGCUGUAGUGAUUCUCAUGCCUCAGCCUCUCGAGUAGCUGGCGUUACGCCGCCACGCCCAGCUAAUUUUUGUUUUUUUAUUUGUUUUAAUUUUUUUUUCCCCCAGACAGAGUCUCACUGUGUCACCCAGGCUGGAGUGCAGUGGCACGAUCUCAGCUCACUGCAACAUAUGCUUCCUGGGUUCAAGCAAUUCUCCUGUCUCAGCCUCCUGAGUAGCUGGGAUUACAGGUGUGCGCCACCACGCCUGGCUACUUUUUGUAUUUUUAUUAGAGAUGGGGUUUCAACAUGUUGGCCAAGCUGGUUUCGAACUCCUGACCUCGUGAUCCACCUGCCUUGGCCUCCCAAAGUGCUGGGAUUACAGGCGUGAGCCACUGCGCCAGCCUUCAUUUUUAAAAACCCAAUGUCAUACCCCUUUCAGUCUCAAAAAUCCAUGGUUUUUCAGGAUUUCUGGGAUCAAAUGCCCAGCCUUUGAAAAACAAGGAAAAGUUUUACAAGGCAACCAGAGCUUUAGGUUCAAGGUCUCAUAUCUAUCGUGAUCUCCUGUCAUUUCCUAGAGGGGAAAAAAAAAAACAAAAACAUUGCUUUGAGAUUUGGGAACAUCCACACUCAUUUCUACAUUCCCAAUGAGGUGCUCAGACAUGUGGCCUUCGCAGAAGGGGUUGCCAAAGCAACAAGGCUCCUUGGGCAGAAGGAGUCUGGCAGGGCCCUCCAGCACUCAUGGGUCUAUACCUCUCUUUUCGCAGCUGAGGCGGUGGGGGAGCCCCUGGCAGAGUGGAGGUGCCAGCACCACACAGUGAGUUUAAGGACAGGGCCAGGCCUGAAACCCAGGAGCUCAAACUCCCAGGCAGGUGCUUUCUUUGCAAAACCAUGCAUGGGGUCCCACAUCAUGAUUCCUGUGUGUUCAGGGCCACAGAGCCAAACUCUGCAGACAUCAUCUCUUUGAUUCUUCAGCCUUCUAAGGUAGUUUGUUAUAACCCCAGAGUCCACAUUCCUAACCUCUUAUUUCUACAGCCUAUGCCAUACAGCACACUUUCCAUAUUGCCUACAAAAGAUUUCGGGAAAAAAAUAUCGUCACUUAGUUACAACUUUAAAUAGGUUGGUACCAUAGAAACAAUCCAUAAGUGGCAUUUCAAAGCUGAUAUAUUUAAAGACUAGCACAUGUACUUUUUCUAGGACAGUGACAUUAUACAGUUGCACAUGGCUUAUUCUUAUUUUGCAUUUUGUCCCAAAAAUAUAUAUGGUGUCCUUAACUUGGCAGAAUUGAGAACCCAGAUCAGCUGAGAUUAGCAAUUUGAUUUCCCUCUAAAUGUUUCUUACAGAUGGUUUCUACCCUACUUAUCUUUCAAGAAUUCGUGAAGACUCUAUCCUUAUAUGGAAAGCUGGAACAUGAGGUUCCUUAGGCUCGGGGUGUUUAUCUGGAAAUUAAAUAUCCGCAAAACACAGUAAGGGGAGAAACCACAGCCUUCAUCAUUCAUUUAUUCAUUUGUCAUUAACAAAUAAUUAAUGAGUACCUACAUGUUAUCUAUUGCAGUAUAACAAUUACCUCCAAACGUAGCAGCUUGCAACACCAGUAAACAUUAUCUCACAUAAUUUCUUUUGGUAGGAAUUUGAGAGUGGCUUAGCUGGGUGGUUCUGACUCAGGGUCUUUCAUGGGGUUGCAGCCAUCUGAAGGCUUGACCAGGGCUGGAUGACCAACUUCCAAGGUGCUUCUCUCACAUAGCUGGCAAACUGGUGCUGGUUGUUGGCAGGUUUCAGUUUCUUGCCAUGUGAGCCUCUACACAUGGUUACCAAGUGUCGUUAUGACAUAGUGGCUAGCUUCCCUCAAAAUGAGCAAAGCAAGAGAGAGCAAGGCAGAAGCCACAAGGUCUUUUAUGGCCUAGUCUUGGAGUCACACUGUCAUUUCUGCAAUAUCUUUUUUUUUUUUUUUUUUUGAGACUGAGUUUUGCUCUGUCACCUAGGCUGUAGUACAGUGGCGUGAUCUCGGCUCACUGCAACUUCUGCCUCCCAGGUUCAGGCAAUUCUCCUGUCUCAGCCUCCUGAGUAGGUGGGACUACAGGCGCAUGCCACCACACCCGGCUAAUUUUUGUAUUUUUAUUAGAGACGGGGUUUCACCAUAUUGGUCAGGCUGGUCUUGAACUCCUGACCUCAGGCAAUCCACCUGCCUCAGCCUCCCAAAGUGCUGGGAUUACAGGCAUGGGGCACCACGCCUGGCCCAUUUUUUUAUUUUCUUUAUUUUUUAUUUUUAUUUAUUUAUUUAUUUAUUGAGAUGGAGUCUCGCUCUGUCACCGGGCUGGAGUGCAGAGGCACAAUCUCAGCUCACUGCAACCUCCACCUCCCAGGUUCAAGCAAUUCUUCUGCCUCAGCCUCCCGAGUAGCUGGGACUACAGGUGUGCGUCACCAUGCCCAGCUAAUUUUUAUAUUUUUAGUAGAGAUGGGGGUUUCACCAUGUUGGCCAGGAUGGUCUUGAUCUCUUGACCUCGUGAUGGACCCGCCUCGGCCUCCCAAAGUGCUGGGAUUGCAGGGGUGAGCCACCGUGCCCGGCUGCGCCUGGCCCAUUUUUGCAAUAUCUUAUUGGUUACACAUUCAGCCCUAUAUAGGGUUGCCAGAUGUAGUAAAUAAAAAUACAGGAUGCCCAAUUAAACUUGAAGUUUAGAUAAAACAAUGAAUAAUAGUAUAUGUAUGUCUCGUAAAAUAUUGCGAAAUACUAAAAAAUUAUCUGAAAUUCAAAUUUAACCACCAUCCUGUAUGGAACCCUAACCCUAUUCAGUGCACAAAGGAAAAACAUGCCAAAGUGGGUGUGAAUACCAGGAGGCCAGGUUCACUGGGGGCCAUCUUGGAAGCUGGCUUCUACAACCUUAACAUGCUGGGCAUGGUAGACUAUGGGGAUAAAUGGUAAACAAUGAAAAAUAAUGAUUCCUGUUCUCAUGCAGUUUGUAGCCUGUUGAAUAAAAUCAACUUGAAUCAACCCAGCAGGAAAAUAAAUACAAAACCUUAACGAUUAUAAAAGUGCUUCAGAGAGAAAUAGCUGAUGCUUGGGACAGUGAUGGGGUCCUCAUCAAAAUAGCCACUUUUUUUUUUUUUUUUUUUUUUUUGAGACAGGGUCUUGCUCUGUCUCCCAGGCUGGAGUGCAGUGGCAUAAUCAUAGCUCACUGCAGCCUCAACCUCCUGGGCUCAAGUAAUCCUCCUGCCUCAGCCUUUCGAGUAGCUUGGACUACAGGCUGCAGUAGCCAAACUCAGCUAAUUUUUUAAGAUCUUUUUGUAGCGAUGAGGGCUCACUAUGUUGCCCAGGCUGGUCUUGAACUCCUGGCUUCAAGUGAUCCACCUUGGCCUCCCAAAGUGUUGGGAUUAUAGGCGUGAGACACCUCACCUAGCCCACUUUUGCUUUAUAGAUUUGAGUUUUUACAUGUGAUUUGAUUUGUCUCUAUGGGCGUAUAAGGAGUAUAUGGAGGGAUCUGUUGCUAAAACAAGGAAAUAAAACCCUGAAAUGCAAGGUUUUGAAUCUUAGCAAAAUCCGUAAGCACACACAAAUGAAUGCACAUAAACAUGGCGAAAACUGAAUAAGGUCUGUAGUCCAGUUAACAGUUUUUACUAAUGCUAAUUUCCUGGUUUUGCUAUUGCACUACAGUUGCAUCAGAUAUCAGCAUUGGGGGAAGCCAGGUGAAGGACACAUGGAACCCUUUGCACCACUUUUUCCACUUCACAUGAGUCUACAAUUAUUUCAAAAUAAAAAGUUAAUAAACAACCCAUUUAAAAAAAAGCAGCUGUUGUUUGGAAAUGGAAACAAGGUUAGAUCAAAAUAAUCCAGACUUGGCGGGGUGCGGUGGCUCAUGCCUGUAAUCCCAGCACUUUGGGAGGCCGAGGUGGGUGGAUCACCUGCGGUCAGGAGUUCAAGACCAGCCUGACCAAUAUGGCAAAACCCCAUCUCUACCAAAAAUACAAAAAUUAACUGGGCGUCGUGGCAUGUGCCUGUAGUCCCAGCUCCUUGGGGGGCUGAGACUGGUAAGUUGCUUGAAUCCAGGAGGCGGCGGUUGCAGUGACCCGAGAUCUCGCCACCGCACUCCAGCCAUGAUAGAGCAAGACUCAGUAUCAAAAAAAAAAAAAAAAAAAAAAAUCCAAAUUCAUGAAAGGACUGGAGGAGGGCCUGAUGUGGUGGAGCCAGGGAUUCUGUCUGAAGAAAAAGAAUUCUUUUUUUUUUUGAGAUGGAGUUUCGCUCUCGUUGCCCAGGCUGGAGUGCAAUGGUACAAUCUCGGCUCACUGCAACCUCCACUUCCCGGGUUCAAGCCAUUCUCCUGCCUCAGCCUCCCGAGUAGCUGGGAUUACAGGCAUGGGCCACCAUGGCCAGCUAAUUUUGUGUUUUUAGCAGAGAUGGGGUUUCUCCAUGUUGGUCAGGCUGUUCUUGAACUCCCUACCUCAGGUGAUCCGCCCACCUAGGUCUCCCAAAGUGCUGGCAUUACAGGUGUGAGCCACCAUGCCCAGCAGGAAUGGAAUGCUUAUUGUUAAUUAUCCUGAGCAGUGUGGGUUUAGAACACAGAAUGAGGCCAACUUUGAGGACAGGGGUAAGAGGUGUCUUUCUGGUUCUGGGCCCAGAUGUGGGGUCCGGAGAGGCCUGGAACACUUCCAUUGGUAGGACCAGUUGUCUCUGGUCCCAAGGAACAGGCUGGGGAAACCCUCAAAGAAGCCUGGGUUUUUUGGUGACCUAGCCUCUUAAUUUAAAUAGUAGACGAAAGAAAUGUUUUCAUUUUCUACCCCAAAAUGAAGAAAGGGAAUAUUCUGGUGACAUUGGUGUAUCCCAGAGAUCUGAAAGCCAUUUGCUGACCCACAAUUGAGGCUGAUCAAUUGUUUUUUAAGGAUAACUGUGGCCAAUUGUUGAUGGGUUUUCUGUUGUUGUUGUGGUUUGUUUUUUGUUUUUUGAGACAGGGUCUCGCUCUGUCAACCCAGGCUGGAGUGCAGGCAGUGGCACAGUCAAGGCUCACUGCAGCCUUGUCCUGCUGGGCUUAAGUGGUCCUCCCACCUCAGCCACCCAAGUAGCUGGGACUACAGGUGCUUGCCACCAUGCCCAGCUAAUAUAUUUUUUUGAGACGGAGUCUCACUCUGUCGCCCAGGCCGGAGAGCAGUGGCACCAUCUCGGCUCACUGCAACCUUUGCCUCUCAGGCUCAAGUGAUUCUCCUGCCUCAGCCUCCUGAAUAGCUGGGAUACAGGCGUGAGCCACCACGCCCGGCUAAUUUUUUUGUUUUGUUUUCUUUUGAGACAGGGUCUCACUCUGUCACCCAGAUUGGAGUGCAAUGCCUCAAUCUUGGCUCACCACCACAACCUCUGCCUCCCAGGCUCAAGCGAUUCUCCUGUCUCAGCCUCCUGAGUAGCUGGGAUUACAGGCGUGCGCCACUACCACCCAGCUAAUUUUUUUGUAUUUUUAGUAGAGAGGAGAUUUCACCAUGUUGGCCAGGCUGGUCCUGAACUCCUGACCUCAAGAUGAUCCACCCGCCUUGGUCUCCCAAAGUGCUGCGAUUACAGGUGUGAGCCACCACACCCAGCUUCCCGCUAAUUUUUUUUUUUUUUUUGUAUUUUUAGUAGAGACGGGUUUUUACCAUGUUGGCCAGGCUGAUCUCAAACUCCUGACCUCAGGUGAUCCGCCCGCCUCAGCCUCCCAAAGUGCUGGGAUUAUAGGCAUGAGCCACCACACCCAGCUCGAGCUAAUUUUUUAAACUUUUUGUAGAGACAAGGUCUCAUUAUUUUGCCCAGGCUGGUCUCGAACUCCUGGACUCUUGUGACAUUUGUUCAGGGGGAAGCCAACACCAUGUAUGAAGUUUAACCACCCUGAGAUGGCCACGUCCUGAAGAAGCCCAGUCUAGCCAUGCGGAGAGACUACAUGCAUAAGAGGUACCCCACUAAGCCUCUAGAUGCUCCAACCAUCCCAGCCGAGGUACCAGACAAAUGAAUGAAGAAAUCUUCAGCUGCCAUCUGACUAGAGAACCACCAGCUCACUCUAGUUAAUUCCCAAAACUGAGCGGUUUUUUUUUUUUUUUUUUUUUCAGACAGGGUUUCACUCUGUCCCCCGGGCUGGACUGCAGUGGUGUAAUCACAGCUCACUGCAACCUCCACUUCCAAGGCUCAAGUG
rnacentral:lncRNA from 1 species